rnacentral:rRNA from 1 species
UACGUAGGGCGCAAGCGUUGUCCGGAAUUAUUGGGCGUAAAGAGCUCGUAGGCGGUCUGGCGCGUCUGUUGUGAAAACUCGAGGCUCAACCUCGGGCUUGCAGUGGAUACGGGCAGACUAGAGUGCGGUAGGGGAGACUGGAAUUCCUGGUGUAGCGGUGGAAUGCGCAGAUAUCAGGAGGAACACCGAUGGCGAAGGCAGGUCUCUGGGCCGCAACUGACGCUGAGGAGCGAAAGCAUGGGGAGCGAACAGG